GUCAAAAAUUGUCUGAAACUUAGAAUGUGUCAAGUAGGGCUUGUUAGUGACUUGCAUGCCACACUUGCUCUAAACGUAUGAAAUACAAGCUGUCUCAAGAAAGUGCUUUCAAUUUCUCUCAACUCAUUGGAGUGAUCCCAUCUUAUGGUUAGAUACCUGCCAUUUACUGCCAGCACUUUAAAAAAUUGAAUAGUACCGCUCAGGGAUUUGCUCGAACUGUCCUUCACCAUGAGCCCGAACCGUCUAUCUAGAAAAGAAGUUGCUAAUCAAAUUUGCGUACGAAUCCUCCAAACUAAGGAAUUGAUUCCGAAGUAUUCCAUUUAUUCUACUUUGUAUAUUUCUGUCGAAUUUGGUAACCAGAAGAAGAAAUUGAAGCCUCUAAAAAAUAGCUCGGAUUGGAGUUGGGGAACUGCUUCUUUUGAACUCGAUGACAUUAAUCUAGAAAAUACCUCGAAUAUGAAGUUUAUAUUACAUGAAAAAACCUUGUUAAGUUACGUUUCUGUUGCCAAGUUGAAUACCGAUGUACCGCCUCAGGUAUUAUCCGGUUCAGAAGUAAUAGAAGGAUGGUACAACUUCAAAUCGAUAAAGGCCGGUAAAAAUUUUACAGGAUCUUUGCAGCUUCAGAUUAAAGCUGUUAGAAUGACCAAACUAGUGAGAGGAAAGCUGAAAUAUGCGAAUGGAGAAACCAACACUUCAGAUUUAUUUGACCUCAUAUAUCAGAACGAUUAUCCUGGCAUCAUUCAGUAUCUAGAAAUGGCUACAGCUGAAGACGUAAAUAGAAGGGAACCAAGGACGGGUAACACAUGCUUACAUGUUGCUUGUUUGGAAAGCAAAAAUCUUGAUAGCCGUAUUCUAAUCAGCUUGCUGGAGUUUGAUGGUAUUGAAGUGCACGUACCCAAUACAGAUCUAAAUACCCCUCUUCAUUUUUUUUGCGCAAAAUGGCGGUCACCUGAACUUCACGCGUUGAACUUAAUGCUAGAAAAAGGUGCUCAAGUAAACUUUGCCAACAGCAACAAAGAAACUCCAAUUUUCAAAGCUAUAUUCAACGAAUGUAUUCGUGCACUGUUGAUGAAAACUCUGAUAGACCAUGGCGCACAAGUGAAUGUUCUCAAUUUUUUUGGUGAAAGUGUCCUGCAUUAUGCCGUGCGUUUCGGCCGUUCUGACUUGGUUAGCAUUAUUUUAGAAAGUUCUCCAGAGCUUAAUAUUGUGGGCAAAGACAAUUUGACCCCGUAUGAGUUGGCUGUUCAGUACAAAGAUAAAAAUAUUGCCAAUUAUCUCAAAACAGUGAGCGAACUAUUCGAUUGGCUCGAUAACCACCAACUAGGUGCCUUCAAACAGACUUUUCUUAAAAACGAAAUCUACCUUCCUGUUUUACCGGAUCUCAAUGCCGACUUUCUUGAAAAAAUGGGAAUUUGCGCCGAUGAUCAGCAAAAAAUUUUGGCCGAGACCGCGAAGCUGAAGAAUGAAAUAACGUUUACAACAAGCAAAGCAGAUCUCACUACAGAUGAAGAAGAUUCUCAAUAUGAGGAUGAUAGCGAUUAUAUCGAGAGAAUCGAGAAAAUGAAACAGCAAAUGGGUGUUUCUGCGCAGCAGCAAUAUUUUAACCUUAAUUUCGACGACGCGGAAAUUGAGUAUGUUAAGCAUCUAGGAACUGGAGUGAGUGGGGACGUUUAUAAAGUCUUUGUAAAUAACCGUCAAAUGGCCGUGAAGGUCUUCAAAAGUAUGGACAUGAUUUCAGAAGACGAGUUUCAAAUCCUGUUAGCGAGUCGUCAUCCGAACAUAGUUGGCUUAUACGGUGUUUGUACGGAACCUCGGUUUUGUUUGGUGAUGGAAUAUUGUUCUAGGGGUUCUCUUUACCACGUACUCAAAGGUCACACGCUGCAACUUGAAUGGAAUUUGAUUUUUAAAAUGUUUUACGAAAUAACCUCUGGUCUGGACGCGCUCCACAGUCACAAACCUCAGAUUUUGCACCGCGACCUAAAAACACUUAACUUGCUGGUUACAGAUAAAUGGCAAGUGAAAGUAGCCGAUUUUGGCCUUUCUAGAUUCAACACUGCCGAGGCCUCGAAACACUCAAACAAGUUCGUGGAACGUUAUGCUAUUGUGCACCGGAAGGUUAUUUCAACAUGCAGUACACAGACAAAAGCGAUAUUUAUUCGUUAGGUAUUGUGUUUUGGGAAGUCAUCAAUAGGUUUUUCAAAAAUGAGUACGAGAGGCCCUAUUCCGAGUACAAGCACAUCCAACAAGAGCUCCAACUUUUUGCUUUGGUUGCCAAUCAGAAUUUGAGGCCGACCAUUCCCUCUAAUUGCCCAACGUCUUUGUCGAAUAUUAUCUGCUCCUGCUUCGAUAAAGAACCACAAAAGAGGCCUGAUACAACUGGUGUUUUAAAAAUGUUAGCUGAGGCGGAGAAAGAAUACCAGUCCCAAAAAGAGCACUGGGACGCUCUAGUCACUAAGAAAUGAAAAACCUACGUGCCUUUGGCAAAACGUGCCUUAUUUUCUCUCAGCAAUUUUAAAGACUUACACUUAUAUAUCUAGACUUUAGAAAAUUUCUUAUAAACGCCACUACGUUUAACUUUGUAUUCCACGUUAUGAGUCAAACCGAUGGAAACGACAAGACUGAUGCUAGUACCUUAGAGAAGGUAAUUGUACCCAACACGGUUUUCAAGACAAACGCAGAAAUCACUCAACCAAGCAGAUAUGUUAAUCUCCUAGAUCUAGUAGGAUCAGCGAGGCCGUAAAAAGCAUAAACUUGACCGGCAAAAGAAGCAUGCCUGAGAUUGUAUUUAGAUUUGUGGUAGUCUUUUGUGGAGUGGAGUUUCCUGAAUCGUCUGGGCACAUGGUGGGUUUCUCCUCGCUAGGAUUGGAUUCAUAGUGCUUACACAGCGAAAUGGUUCUACAUUUAGAACAGUGGUUAAAGAGCUUCCAAAAUUAUCAUCUGUCACAACAAAAUUCGUUAAUUUUGGAUUUAUAAUUGGAUCAAGAUUUUUAUUCUUUCCCACUGAAUUCGUUUUUUCGUUCAAAUUCGCUAUUUUUCGAGUCGCUUAUGUCGACCGAAUUUUUUAGCCAUCUCUGCUCACACACAACCAUUGGUCUGUGAUUUGAAGACACCCUUUUAGUCCAGGCUGAGUCGCAUUUAAUCCACUCUGGUUGGCGGUAAUUUGUUCACGCUCAUUAAUUCGAAGUUGCUUUGUGCGAAAGAUCGAUGUAUGCUUCAUCCUCGGCCGGCCAAUAGCGCUAUGCAAAGAUCGUUGCAGGCACGUUCCAUUUGAAUCACCUUAAUUAAAACUGUUGGAAAGACUCGUGAUGGAUUCACCUCGGCAUUCUGCAUCCGUUAGAUCUUGGAACUAAACAGGCUUUUAUGUAAUUUUCCAGUCCUCCUCAAUUUCUUAAUAACGCACGCAAGUGGUGUUACCUUAUCCGCUUAGUAUGCUGCUUGGGUCUAAGGGCGUCAAUAGUUUUUCUGGAUCAGAGAAAACAGAAAUAUAGAAGAUGUGCUACACACUUUUAAAUCGUGGCCUAAGGAAUUUCUGAUUUUUCCAUCGUUGAGACAUAGAAUUGCAUUAUGAGAUAAAAGAGACAUAUUGCGUUCUUUUGUAAUUAAAUAGAAAAACAUUCUCUAGAGAAGAUGAA